GACGAACGCUGGCGGCGUGCUUAACACAUGCAAGUCGAACGGGCCUGUCUUCUUUUUUGGGGGGUGGGUUGAGUGGCGAACGGGUGAGUAUCACGUGAGUAACCUGCCCUUCGGUCCUGGAUAACCGCUUGAAAGGGCGGCUAAUACGGGGUGGUCCGGUUGGUCCGCAUGGGCUGGUCGGGAUAGAUUCACUGUUUUUGGUGUUUCGGCGGGGGAUGGGCUCGCGGCCUAUCAGCUUGUUGGUGGGGUGAUGGCCUACCAAGGCGGUGACGGGUAGCCGGCCUGAGAGGGUGGGCGGCCACACUGGGACGGAGAUACGGCCCAGACUCCUGCGGGAGGCAGCAGUGGGGGGUAUUGCACAAUGGGCGGAAGCCUGAUGCAGCGACGUCGCGUGAGGGAUGGAGGCCUUCGGGUUGUGAACCUCUGUUUCCGGUGGUGAAGGCCCUGUCCGUGUGGUGGGGUUGACGGUAGCCGGGGAUGAAGCGCCGGCUAACUACGUG
rnacentral:rRNA from 1 species